CGUGCAGAUACGUGUAAACUUGUGGCCGCACUCGGCAACAAUGUAUAUCAAUAUGCCGAAGCAAAGUGCCCAAUGAGCCAUCAAUAUCCCAACGGUCCUUCCGCCGAAUGUCCGAGAAGAAGACGUGCGUGGCAACAGUGCGGACGCCUAACAAACGUGUGGAUAGUGGGGAUUUGAGGGGCGACAAACAGAAAAGAAUCGAAUCCGAUCGACAGUUAGGUUUGAAAUAGGAAGCGAUAAAGUCGAGUUGUAACCGGGCAGUGAAAUUGACUAGCGAAACCGAGAGCGAUACGUGACGCGAUCGAAAAAAGAUUCUUGUUAAUAAAUAUGUUGUUGACCUAAAUACCGAAUGAUUAUUUAACGCACUACACCCAAUAACACCUCAAACUUUUUCGUCGUUAAAUUAAACCGUCAAACAUGAGCAAGUGUUACAGUACUUUCGAACUAUAUAGAUUAGGACGUGAAAGAACAACGGAGGGCCAGCCAAAGUUUCGGCUGGACGUGACCCGAAGUGUCCUGGGAAUUGCCGUGUAAUUUGUCUAUAUCGUGCAAGGGAGGAAAUAAAAUAGAAAAAUAGAAAAGGAGAAUAAUAGAAGGAGAAAAAUAGAAAAGAAAUGCGAGCAAAUGAAGAUAUAAGAUGGAUCCAGAAAUGAAUGAUACUAUUUUAUUCUGUGCCAAUUAUAUUUUGAACUAUUCAAAAAAAAAAAAAAAAGGAAGUAAAAUAAAAAAACAACAGGCAAGAGCUUGUAAUUAAAUUCCAGGAAAAAUGUGAAACAAAAUCAAAGUGCAGAUCCAAGAGAAAAAAUCAGAAAAGAAAAAAAAAUCUCUUCGUACAAAAUGUUACAUUGAAAUGGAUAUUUUUCAACAUCAAAAGCGUGAAACUCGAGACGCCGUUUUCAACCAUGUUAAGACAAAUUAAAUCCAAAAAAAAAAGCGAAGAAAAGGGAGAAGCAGAAAGAGAAUUGGUUUCUCUUGCUAAAGAGUUUAAGAAGACGGUAAUUAUACAGAAAAAAGGAACAUCUUCCCGAUUUCAAUGGGCCUGAGAUACGCUGUCAAGGACGACACUGUGAACUACUUUUCCCUACACACGCAGCCACAGCUCGGCCCUCGUUUCACCGAGACGUUUUCAAAAAACUUCAACGAAAUUUGAGUUCCAUUACGCUUCAUUCUGGCGUAUAGAUAGUCGUUCAAUUUUUGUAUAGUUCAACCUAAGCUUAACUUAUCGAUGCUAAUCAUCUUCAAUAUAAAUAAAAAAAAAGAUAAAUCAAUGGGUUGUAGAUUAUUAAAUUUUAAUUUAGUUAAAUGUUAGUUAAAUGCUAGAUUAAUAUAUUGCACAACGUUGGCACGA